rnacentral:rRNA from 1 species
AGAGUUUGAUCAUGGCUCAGGACGAACGCUGGCGGCGCGCCUAAUGCAUGCAAGUCGAGCGACGCAUAUCUAGUUCGUAAGAACCGGGUAUGACGGAGCGGCGAACGGGUGCGUAACACGUGACCAAUCUGCCCCGAAGACUGGGAUAACCUCUCGAAAGAGUGGCUAAUACCGGAUACCCUCCUGGAACCGCAUGGUUCCUUGAGGAAAGGUUCAGGCGCUUUGGGAUGAGGUCGCGGCCCAUCAGCUUGUUGGUGAGGUAAUGGCUCACCAAGGCGACGACGGGUAGCUGGUCUGAGAGGACGAUCAGCCACACUGGAACUGAGACACGGUCCAGACUCCUACGGGAGGCAGCAGCAGGGAAUCUUGCGCAAUGGGCGAAAGCCUGACGCAGCGACGCCGCGUGGGGGAUGAAGGCCUUCGGGUUGUAAACCCCUUUCAGGAGGGAAGAAAAUGACGGUACCUCCAGAAGAAGCCCCGGCCAACUACGUGCCAGCAGCCGCGGUAAUACGUAGGGGGCGAGCGUUGUCCGGAUUUAUUGGGCGUAAAGGGCUCGUAGGCGGCUUGACAAGUCGAUCGUGAAAACCCAGGGCUCAACCCUGGGACGCCGGUCGAUACUGUCAUGGCUAGGGGUCCGGUAGAGGAAAAUGGAAU